GACGAAACGCUGGCGGCGUGCCUAACACAUGCAAGUCGAACGGGGCUAGGAAAGCUUGCUUUCCGAUGCCUAGUGGCGGACGGGUGAGUAAACGCGUGAGUAAACCUGCCUUUCAGAGGGGAAUAACGUUCUGAAAAGAACGCUAAUACCGCAUAACGUACAGUUCCGCAUGGGAGCAGUACCAAAGGAGCAAUCCGCUGAGAGAUGGACUCGCGUCCGAUUAGCUAGUUGGUGGGGUAAAGGCCUACCAAGGCGACGAUCGGCAGCCGGACUGAGAGGUUGAACGGCCACAUUGGGACUGAGACACGGCCCAGACUCCUACGGGAGGCAGCAGUGGGGAUA
rnacentral:rRNA from 1 species